CUGGCCGAGUGUACGUUGGUCCCAGCGGGUAGAAAGACUCGCAUCCGAUAAGUGUUCAAACAACAUCACAUAUUGCAGUCAUGUUGACUGUCUUGUAUUGGUCCAGUUAACUUAAUUUGUGUGUCACUGUCGGUGCACAUAGCGAUGUUACAUUUUGAUAGCUGGGAGAACUCCAUUGUUGGUAGGACGUCAUUAACAUUGAUGGGGACCACAUGAAUAUGGAAAACAUGUGAUGAAAGUAAGUUCAUCUAACUAUGAAAGCCACAAAAUAGAGUAUUUGUCCAAGAUAUUUAGUAACAAACAUACGAUUUACAUGACAUACAAAAUCCCUGCAAGACUUAUGAACGAAACCAGAAUUUUUGUAGAAUGAAGGUGUUGGAAGAUAUAUUUAACGUGGAGGAAAUGGUUAUCUUGCUGAUACCACUCAAAUUACCUUGAAGAGUGAUUUAUACUCUCUCAAAUACGAUGUCGAGUUGUAAUACUUAGGGAUCGAAUUCACAUGAAGGUAUGAAACCUAAGAAAUCUAAUAUGAUUUGUUAAGCAUGAUGUUUUAAUGAUUUAAAUGUAAAUU
rnacentral:lncRNA from 1 species